CGCGGCCUAUCAGCUUGUUGGUGGGGUAAUGGCCUACCAAGGCGACGACGGGUAGCCGGCCUGAGAGGGCGACCGGCCACACUGGGACUGAGACACGGCCCAGACUCCUACGGGAGGCAGCAGUGGGGAAUAUUGCACAAUAGGCGCAAGCCUGAUGCAGCGACGCCGCGUGAGGGAUGAAGGCCUUCGGGUUGUAAACCUCUUUCAGCAGGGAAGAAGCGCAAGUGACGGUACCUGCAGAAGAAGCGCCGGCUAACUACGUGCCAGCAGCCGCGGUAAUACGUAGGGCGCAAGCGUUGUCCGGAAUUAUUGGGCGUAAAGAGCUCGUAGGCGGUUUGUCGCGUCUGCUGUGAAAACGCGAGGCUCAACCUCGCGCCUGCAGUGGGUACGGGCAGACUAGAGUGCGGUAGGGGAGACUGGAAUUCCUGGUGUAGCGGUGGAAUGCGCAGAUAUCAGGAGGAACACCGGUGGCGAAGGCGGGUCUCUGGGCCGUAACUGACGCUGAGGAGCGAAAGCAUGGGGAGCGAACAGGAUUAGAUACCCUGGUAGUCCACGCCGUAAACGGUGGGCACUAGAUGUGGGGACUCAUUGACGUCUGCCGUGCCGUAGCUAACGCAUUAAGUGCCCCGCCUGGGGAGUACGG
rnacentral:rRNA from 1 species